UAUUCUAAGGCGCUUGAGAGAACUCAGGAGAAGGAACUCGGCAAAUUGACACCGUAACUUCGGAAGAAGGUGUGCCCUAGUAGUGUGAAGUGAACAAUGGAGCAUGAAUGGGUUGCAAAAAAUCGGUGGCUGCGACUGUUUAUUAAAAACACAGCACUCUGCAAACACGAAAGUGGACGUAUAGGGUGUGACGCCUGCCCGGUGCUGGAAGAUUAAAUGAUGGGGUGCAAGCUCUUGAUUGAAGUCCCAGUAAACGGCGGCCGUAACAAUAACGGUCCUAAGGUAGCGAAAUUCCUUGUCGGGUAAGUUCCGACCUGCACGAAUGGCGUAACGAUGGCCACACUGUCUCCUCCUGAGACUCAGCGAAGUUGAAAUGUUUGUGAUGAUGCAAUCUCCCCGCGGAAAGACGGAAAGACCCCAUGAACCUUUACUGUAGCUUUGUAUUGGACUUUGAACAGAUCUGUGUAGGAUAGGUGGGAGGCUUUGAAGCAGGGUCGCUAGAUCUUGUGGAGCCAACGUUGAAAUACCACCCUGGUGUGUUUGAGGUUCUAACCUAGGUCCAUUAUCUGGAUCGGGGACAGUGCAUGGUAGGCAGUUUGACUGGGGCGGUCUCCUCCCAAAGCGUAACGGAGGAGUUCGAAGGUACGCUAGUUACGGUCGGACAUCGUGACGAUAGUGCAAUGGCAUAAGCGUGCUUAACUGCGAGACUGACAAGUCGAGCAGAUGCGAAAGCAGGACAUAGUGAUCCGGUGGUUCUGUAUGGAAGGGCCAUCGCUCAACGGAUAAAAGGUACUCUGGGGAUAACAGGCUGAUACCGCCCAAGAGUUCAUAUCGACGGCGGUGUUUGGCACCUCGAUGUCGGCUCAUCUCAUCCUGGGGCUGUAGCCGGUCCCAAGGGUAUGGCUGUUCGCCAUUUAAAGAGGUACGUGAGCUGGGUUUAAAACGUCGUGAGACAGUUUGGUCCCUAUCUUCCGUGGGCGCUGCAGAUUUGAGGAAGCCUGCUCCUAGUACGAGAGGACCGGAGUGGACACACCUCUGGUGUAUCGGUUGUCACGCCAGUGGCAUUGCCGAGUAGCUAAGUGUGGAAGAGAUAACCGCUGAAAGCAUCUAAGCGGGAAACUCGUUUCAAGAUGAGAUCUGCCGGGGCCUUGAGCCCCCUGAAGAGUCGUUCAAGACCAGGACGUUGAUAGGUCAGGUGUGGAAGCGCAGUAAUGCGUUAAGCUAACUGAUACUAAUUGCUCGUGCGGCUUGACCCU
rnacentral:rRNA from 1 species